ACCCGCUGAACUUAAGCAUAUCAAUAAGCGGAGGAAAAGAAACCAACAGGGAUUGCCCUAGUAACGGCGAGUGAAGCGGCAACAGCUCAAAUUUGAAAUCUGGCUCUUUUAGGGUCCGAGUUGUAAUUUGCAGAGGGCGCUUUGGCGUUGGCAGCGGUCCAAGUUCUUUGGAACAGGACGUCACAGAGGGUGAGAAUCCCGUACGUGGUCGCUAUCCUUCGCCGUGUAAAGCCCCUUCGACGAGUCGAGUUGUUUGGGAAUGCAGCUCUAAAUGGGAGGUAAAUUUCUUCUAAAGCUAAAUACUGGCCAGAGACCGAUAGCGCACAAGUAGAGUGAUCGAAAGAUGAAAAGCACUUUGGAAAGAGAGUCAAAUAGCACGUGAAAUUGUUGAAAGGGAAGCGCUUGCAGCCAGACUUGCCUGUAGUUGCUUAUCUGGACUUUUGUCCGGUGCACUCUUCUGCGGGCAGGCCAGCAUCAGUUUGGGCGGUUGGAUAAAGGUCUCUGUCAUGUACCUCCUUUCGGGGAGGCCUUAUAGGGGAGACGACAUGCAACCAGCCUGGACUGAGGUCCGCGCAUCUGCUAGGAUGCUGGCGUAAUGGCUGU
rnacentral:rRNA from 1 species